rnacentral:rRNA from 1 species
UACAGAGGUCUCAAGCGUUGUUCGGAUUCAUUGGGCGUAAAGGGUGUGUAGGUGGCGCGCUAAGUCGGGUGUGAAAUUUCGGAGCUUAACUCCGAAACUGCAUUCGAUACUGCCGUGCUUGAGGACUGGAGAGGAGACUGGAAUUUACGGUGUAGCGGUGAAAUGCGUAGAUAUCGUAAGGAAGACCAGUGGCGAAGGCGGGUCUCUGGACAGUUCCUGACGCUGAGGCACGAAGGCCAGGGGAGCAAACGGG